GGUCUCAGUUCGGAUUGAAGGCUGAAAUUCGCCUUCAUGAAGCUGGAAUUGCUAGUAAUGGCAGGUCAGCAUACUGCCGUGAAUACGUUCCCGGGCCUUGUACACACCGCCCGUCAAGCCAUGGGAGCCGGGGGCGCCUGAAGUCCGGGACCGCGAGGACCGGCCUAGGGCGAAACUGGUAACUGGGGCUAAGUCGUAACAAGGUACC
rnacentral:rRNA from 1 species